UUUUUUAACACUUAAUAUUGAAACAGAUUAGAGCAGUUACUUGUUUUCGACUGCCAGAUCAUGUGGCUUUUGCUCGUGACGAUCGUUCCAAGUUCGAAUCCUGCUCGCUGCCCUUCCUCAUGGUCAUUGGAGAGUCUUGGACUAGGAUGUGAUCCAAGCUUGAAAGACGAAAAGUAGAAGACCAACUGUGACAUUUUUAUUCCUUUACUUUCAAAGUAAAAGUAAAGACAGUUACAUCAUUAUAAUGUAUAUUAUUAUAAAAUUAUUUAAAUGACAGAGGUCUUAACCGUUAGCUUGCUAGUAAGUACCUUGUGCCCUUUUAACCAAACCUUUAAUCAAAAUUUCACCAGCUACGCUUUUUAUUAAUGCUAAGUACCCAGAUUAGGUAUUCAUGAACUUUUUGUUUAAAGAUUCUACAAAUUCUGUUUGGAGAAAAAUAGGAACCGAGCUUCAAGUCUUUUGAUCACCAGCCCAAGGAAUAAUAGAAAACAAAAAUGGAAAUAUAGCUUUUAUAUAGCUUAAUCAUUCAGAAUUCUCAUCAGCUGGUGUUUUACAUAAAUCAAAAGAGAACAUUCUAUGAGGGUAUAAACAAAAAUAGAGCUGUAAAUAAUCAAGUCUGUCAAAUGUAUGUAUAUUAUACCCAUAUGGUUUUGGUUUGUUUUUUAAUUCAUCGGUAAUAGAUCAUGAUCUCUCAGAUCUUAUAAUGUAUAUAUAGUACUCAACCCAAACGUUGGGACAUUGACAGGCUAUUCAGGGUAAACGUUUUUCUAUGUAGUUAUCGUAAAUUGACGUAUAAUAAUAUAUUUUAGAGAUUAGAAACGAAACGAACCUGAGCGCAAACAGAACGAACCCAGUUCGAACACCUCAUUUUCGACCGAACCGAACCGAACCCGAACUUUAAAACUGAUUGAUUCAAACCGAAUAAAUCGAACUGUCCUUACUUUUACCAAACUGAAUCAAGAUUUUGCAAUAUUAUUGUAAAAAAACAACAAUUAAGUUUUCAGCGACAUGAUUUGACAGAGAUUUUUAAUUCUUGGAGAUUGCCAUGUCCUUGAUUUCUUGUGUGUGCAUCUUUUAGGCACCAUUAUGGCUUGGUUUUAUUUGGAAUCAACGCAAAGAUGUCGUAUCAUUUAAUAUUUGUGGUCAAAUGACAUUUGGGUUUCGGUGAAACGAAAAUAAAAUUCUGCAUGUAGAAACUACCAGGUAAAGUGGAUAGAUCUUGACCUUGUUGUGACGCAGUCAAAUAAGACGAUAUCUUUGAUUUUUAUAGAGCCGUCAGUGGCUUUUUUCUGUAGAAUGUAAACUGCAUUAUAAAAUUAAAUACAUAAACAAAUAUGGUGGUAUUCUUAGUUUUAGCCGCGAAGAAAAGUUCGAUAAGUAACGGCUAGAGAUUAGAGGAUUGGCGAGAAUAUUUACGAAGAAGGGACAAAAAAACGGCGGUAAGAGUAUGUUAUAGAGUUGCUCACAUUAUAAAGAAUGAAAUGAAGCCUUUUACGACGGUGAAUGCGUAAAGAGUGGUUACUAUUAGUAAAGGAAUCCAUGUGUUAUAAGGGUGCAUGGAAGCCGCCACCUUUUUUUUUUCGCUUGGCAAUUCGAAAUCUCAAUAGCGUAGCAGAAUUCAAAAUGUCCGAGGACGUACCAAAUAUCGCGUAAGUCUUUGUACUUAUUCGCAGUACGAAAUGCAAUUUUAAAAGACACAGAGGAGAUAGUUGCUAUGAGGAGCUCGCAUGAGACCAUCACUAGCAAAGACCUGUUCAAAGUAGUUCCAGACAUCAUUGAGAAUGUUUCUCUUAUUUGGGGGAUAUUAGUGGAAGUAGUUCCAGAAACCACCACAAGUAUGGUUGGAUGUCGUAUAGCGUAACGUCUGUGACAAACUGUUGUAUCAGGACCAUAUGAUGAUGUAUUUAGUACUGUCAAUUUGAUAAAGUUUCAAGCUUAGAACCAUAUAACGUCUUAGAAUUCUCUGACAGAAAUAGAGUCCGAAUAGAAAAACGUUUUAUUUACAGCGAAGUGCGCUGGCAAGCAGAGGAAAAGUUCUAAAACUUUUUUUUAUCAAAUAAAACAAGAAACGGACAUUUGUAUGACAGAAAAAUGUAAAUAAGUGCCUCAACGAACCCUUAUGGUUGUGGGAUUUGACUUUUUAAAGUGACAUCAUACUCUAUCUAAAUGAAUUCAACAACAAACUACAAGAAAAAAACAUGUCAAUUUUGCUUGUAAUAGCUGAAAUAAGCUAUUUUAAACGAAAUUACAACUCUUCAUUUAGCAGGCCUUACAGACUAACAUCUAGAUUUAGUGAUUCAAUUGGGUGUCUUAUCAAUGCUGCGGAAUUUUCAGAAUUAGGUUUUGGAUAAACUUCAUACAUCCCAAGAAUUAGUUUACAUACUCUGUGGCAAUUUACGUUUCGGGAGAUAAUCUUCUCCCUUUGCAACUUCUAGUGUGACUAAAGAGGCCAAUCCUUGAUACACAGUUGCGGUCACACCUGUAUCUACUAAAUUCUACUAAAAGUGUAUUGUUCUUUAUUUAAUGUUUUUUGUAUCUUUUCUGAUAUGUGACCAAGACAAAUGUCGGAAAUUAAAAUGGCUCGUCUGUACGAUGUGUUUGGCAUCACUGUUUUAUUGAACAAAUUAAACUGUACAUUAUUACACGUACAUAGUUUUUGCUAUUAUCUAAUUUCUUAAUAUCUAACCGAACCCGAACUUAAGAUCUGACCGAACCGAACCCAAACUAUACCUGUUAUCGAAUCAAACCGAACUUGAACAUAAAACUUUAAAUGUUGGGUACAAAAUCCCAUCUCUGAUAUAUACAUAUAUACACCCUUUAUUUUUUAGCUACCUAACCCUAACCCUAACAAUGAAGGCAAUCAUUCUUUUAACCAUUUUGCUGGUCUCUUGUGCUGUAUAUGGUGAAAUGUCAGCUGAAGAAACCAGAGCAGUGAAUGAAAAUAAUGCUGUAGAAACAGAGCUGACUCAAAGCACUGAAGAAAAGAAACGUAUAUUUGAAAGUUGCUUUCUCAAUGGUUACACAUGUCAAUAUCAAUAUGGAUAACUCUUAAGCAGACAGUAAACUGGCUGACAUUCUGGAAAAUUCAAAAUUCGUUGUUUUAAAUUUAAUAA
rnacentral:sRNA from 1 species